UACAGAGGGUGCGAGCGUUGUCCGGAAUCACUGGGCGUAAAGGGCGCGUAGGUGGCGGCAUAAGGCCGUGGUGAAAGUCUGGGGCUCAACCCCAGAUCGGCCGCGGCGACUGUGUCGCUAGGGCACCGUAGAGGCAGAUGGAAUUCCGGGUGUAGCGGUGGAAUGCGUAGAGAUCCGGAAGAACACCAGUGGCGAAGGCGGGUCUGCUGGGCGGUGGGGGUCGCAAGACUCCAAUUAGCCGAC
rnacentral:rRNA from 1 species